UUUUAAAUUUAGAGUUUGAUCCUGGCUCAGGACGAACGCUGGCGGCGUGCUUAACACAUGCAAGUCGAGCGAUGAAACUUCCUUCGGGAAGUGGAUUAGCGGCGGACGGGUGAGUAACACGUGGGUAACCUGCCUCAAAGUGGGGGAUAGCCUUCCGAAAGGAAGAUUAAUACCGCAUAAUAUGAGAGAAUCGCAUGAUUUUCUCAUCAAAGAUUUAUUGCUUUGAGAUGGACCCGCGGCGCAUUAGCUAGUUGGUAAGGUAACGGCUUACCAAGGCAACGAUGCGUAGCCGACCUGAGAGGGUGAUCGGCCACAUUGGAACUGAGACACGGUCCAGACUCCUACG
rnacentral:rRNA from 1 species